CCCCUUCUUAAAGCACUUGUUCUGCCUGUGUCAGUGGCUGGGUGAGUUGUCGUGGAAGGGAACAGUAAGUGCAUUGCUCUUGGGUGAGGUGACAGCGACAUGUGCUGUUUAAUCUCAAUCCGCGAUGUGACAGUU